rnacentral:rRNA from 1 species
AUUUCCCUACGGGGGGCAGCAGUGAGGAAUAUUGGUCAAUGGGCGGGAGCCUGAACCAGCCAAGUCGCGUGAGGGACGACGGUCCUAUGGAUUGUAAACCUCUUUUGUCGGGGAACAAAGGCGCCCACGGGUGGGCGGAUGAGUGUACCCGGAGAAAAAGCAUCGGCUAACUCCGUGCCAGCAGCCGCGGUAAUACGGAGGAUGCGAGCGUUAUCCGGAUUUAUUGGGUUUAAAGGGUGCGCAGGCGGCACGGCAAGCCGGCGGUCAAAUCGCGGGGCUCAACCCCGCCCAGCCGUCGGAACUGC